GGUGAUUUUCUCAACAACGGCUUCACUAACAUUAUCAUCAGUAAUGGUAUCUUCAUGAAGAAAUUUAAGAAGAAAUUUGAAAAAGUGUGGUGCGUUUUCUUCUGUAUUUGGCAACUAGAAGAGGAUGAAGAUGGCGAUUCAUUAUUUGGUGCUUAAAAAGUAUUAUCAUGUUCAAGUAUUCAUGUUGAGUUACAACCAUAAUAAGAACCUUCAACUUUUACCU
rnacentral:misc_RNA from 1 species